AGUGAACGCUGGCGGUAGGCCUAACACAUGCAAGUCGAACGGCAGCACAGUAAGAGCUUGCUCUUACGGGUGGCGAGUGGCGGACGGGUGAGGAAUACAUCGGAAUCUACUUUUUCGUGGGGGAUAACGUAGGGAAACUUACGCUAAUACCGCAUACGACCUACGGGUGAAAGCAGGGGAUCUUCGGACCUUGCGCGAUUGAAUGAGCCGAUGUCGGAUUAGCUAGUUGGCGGGGUAAAGGCCCACCCAGGCGACGAUCCGUAGCCGGUCUGAGAGGAUGAUCAGCCACACUGGAACUGAGACACGGUCCAGACUCCUACGGGAGGCAGCAGUGGGGAAUAUUGGACAAAGGGCGCAAGCCUGAUCCAGCCAUACCGCGUGGGUGAAGGAGGCCUUCGGGUUGUAAAGCCCUUUUGUUGGGAAAGAAAAGCAGCAGGUUAAUACCCAGCUGUUCUGACGGUACCCAAAGAAUAAGCACCGGCUAACUUCGUG
rnacentral:rRNA from 1 species